AACGAACGCUGGCGGCGUGUUUAAGACAUGCAAGUCGAACGGCUUGAAGUUGUAGCAAUACCGCUUCAACCAGUGGCGCACGGGUGCGUAACACGUGAGUUACAUGCCCUGCAGUGGGGAAUAGCUCGCCGAAAGGCGGAUUAAUACCCCAUGGUCCCGCAAGGGUAAAGGUGGCGAAAGCUGCCGCUGCAGGAUUGGCUCGCGUCCUAUCAGCUAGUUGGCGGGGUAACGGCCCACCAAGGCGACGACGGGUACCUGGUCUGAGAGGAUGAUCAGGCACACUGGAACUGAGACACGGUCCAGAAAGCUACGGGUGGAAGCAGUGGAGAAUAAUUCACAAUGGGCGAAAGCCUGAUGGGGCAACGCCGCGUGGAGGAUGAAGGUCUUCGGAUUGUAAACUCCUGUCAUCGGGGAGUAAGACCUGGGCGUGAAUAGCGCACAGGGUUGAUAGUACCCGAAGAGGAAGGGACGGCUAACUUCGUGCCAGCAGCCGCGGUAA
rnacentral:rRNA from 1 species